rnacentral:rRNA from 1 species
CCUACGGGAGACAGCAGUGAGGAAUAUUGGUCAAUGGACGCAAGUCUGAACCAGCCAUGCCGCGUGCAGGAAGACGGCUCUAUGAGUUGUAAACUGCUUUUGUACGAGGGUAAACGCAGAUACGCGUAUCUGUCUGAAAGUAUCGUACGAUUAAGGAUCGGCUAACUCUGUGCCAGCAGCCGCGGUAAUACGGAGGAUUUAAGCGUUAUCCGGAUUUAUUGGGUUGAAAGGGUGCGUAGGCGGUCGGGUAAGUUAGAGGUGAAAUCCCGAGGCUCAACUUGGGAAUUGCAUGUGAUACUGUGAGGCUAGAGAGUAGGUGAGGUAGGCGGAAUGUAUGGUGUAGCGGUAAAAUGCUUAGAGAUCAUACAGAACACCGAUUGCGAAGGCAGCUUACCAGAAUACUUCUGACGUUGAGGCACGAAAGCGUGGGGAGCAAACAGGAUUAGAUACCCGGGUAGUC